rnacentral:ncRNA from 1 species
ACGAUAACGGCAAACCUGUCGAAAGGCAGGGACGCAAAGCUACAGGGCCUUCCUCCGAGCGAGAUGGCAGCCAGUUGCCGAA